rnacentral:misc_RNA from 1 species
GAUGAAGAACGUAGCGAAAUGCGAUACGUAAUGUGAAUUGCAGAAUUCAGUGAAUCAUCGAAUCUUUGAACGCAUAUUGCGCUCUUUGGUAUUCCGAAGAGCAUGCUUGUUUGAGUAUCAGUAAACACCUCAACCUCUUCUUGAUUUUUCAAAAGGAGGGUGGACUUGAGCUAUCCCAACAACCUUUACCGGUCGGCGGGCGGCUUGAAAUGCAGGUGCAGCUGGACUUUUAUCUGAGCUAAAAGCAUAUCUAUUUAGUCCUCGUCAAACAGGAUUAUUACUUUUGCUGCAGCUAACAUAAAGGAUAAUUGUCCUCUUUGCUGACUGAUGCAGGAUUUUACGACACUUUAUGUGUUGUUCAACUCGAUCUCAAAUCAAGUAAGACUACCCGCUAAACUUAAGCAUAUCAAUAAGCGGAGGA